UGGGGAAUUUUGCACAAUGGGGGAAACCCUGAUGCAGCGACGCCGCGUGAUUUAGAAGGCCUUCGGGUUGUAAAAAUCUUUUUUACGGGAUGAAAAUGACAGUACCGUAAGAAUAAGGUCCGGCUAAAUACGUGCCAGCAGCCGCGGUAAUACGUAUGGACCGAGCGUUGUCCGGAAUCAUUGGGCGAAAAGGGUACGUAGGCGGCCUAGUAAGUUAGAAGUGAAAUAAUAUAGCUCAACUAUAGAAAGCUUUUAAAACUGCUAGGCUUGAGAGUUGGAAGGGAAAGUGGAAUUCCUAGUGUAGCGGUGAAAUGCGCAGAUAUUAGGAAGAAUACCGGUGGCGAAGGCGACUUUCUGGUCAUCAUCUGACGCUGAGGUACGAAAGCGUGGGUAGCAAACAGG
rnacentral:rRNA from 1 species